rnacentral:rRNA from 1 species
UACGUAGGUGACAAGCGUUGUCCGGAUUUACUGGGCGUAAAGAGCGCGCAGGCGGUCGAUCAAGUCGAAUGUGAAAGCCCCCGGCUCAACUGGGGAGGGUCAUUCGAUACUGUUCGACUCGAAGGCAGGAGAGGGAAGUGGAAUUCCCGGUGUAGUGGUGAAAUGCGUAGAUAUCGGGAGGAACACCAGUGGCGAAGGCGACUUCCUGGCCUGUUCUUGACGCUGAGGCGCGAAAGCUAGGGGAGCAAACGGG